AUGUUGCUGAUAUUGAUAUGGCCUUUGUGUAGACCGAAGAGGAUAAAGCUCGGGAUGUGUUUAGGAAGUUAUCUGUCAGUAUGGUAUUGUCUUGAUGAAUCCUCUAUGAUUAUUUGUUUUGUUUUGAGAAAAAACCCUCCGAAUUUAUAUGUGGUCAUGAUUGUUGUUUUGUAUAUAACUGGUUCUCUUGUUCAGCAUAAAGCAAUGAACAUGGCUCAGUACGCUCAGAAAAAGUUGGAUUUAGCAGAUGAGCUGAAGUUGGACAAAGAGGGUGGAGUUGUUCCAUUGGAAAGACCCUUCGAGUUCUGA
rnacentral:rRNA from 1 species